rnacentral:rRNA from 1 species
UGCAAGUCGAACGAACUCUGGUAUUGAUUGGUGCUUGCAUCAUGAUUUACAUUUGAGUGAGUGGCGAACUGGUGAGUAACACGUGGGAAACCUGCCCAGAAGCGGGGGAUAACACCUGGAAACAGAUGCUAAUACCGCAUAACAACUUGGACCGCAUGGUCCGAGUUUGAAAGAUGGCUUCGGCUAUCACUUUUGGAUGGUCCCGCGGCGUAUUAGCUAGAUGGUGGGGUAACGGCUCACCAUGGCAAUGAUACGUAGCCGACCUGAGAGGGUAAUCGGCCACAUUGGGACUGAGACACGGCCCAAACUCCUACGGGAGGCAGCAGUAGGGAAUCUUCCACAAUGGACGAAAGUCUGAUGGAGCAACGCCGCGUGAGUGAAGAAGGGUUUCGGCUCGUAAAACUCUGUUGUUAAAGAAGAACAUAUCUGAGAGUAACUGUUCAGGUAUUGACGGUAUUUAACCAGAAAGCCACGGCUAACUACGUGCCAGCAGCCGCGGUAAUACGUAGGUGGCAAGCGUUGUCCGGAUUUAUUGGGCGUAAAGCGAGCGCAGGCGGUUUUUUAAGUCUGAUGUGAAAGCCUUCGGCUCAACCGAAGAAGUGCAUCGGAAACUGGGAAACUUGAGUGCAGAAGAGGACAGUGGAACUCCAUGUGUAGCGGUGAAAUGCGUAGAUAUAUGGAAGAACACCAGUGGCGAAGGCGGCUGUCUGGUCUGUAACUGACGCUGAGGCUCGAAAGUAUGGGUAGCAAACAGGAUUAGAUACCCUGGUAGUCCAUACCGUAAACGAUGAAUGCUAAGUGUUGGAGGGUUUCCGCCCUUCAGUGCUGCAGCUAACGCAUUAAGCAUUCCGCCUGGGGGAGUACGGCCGCAAGGCUGAAACUCAAAGGAAUUGACGGGGGCCCGCACAAGC